UGAGGAACAUGACUUUCGGCGGGGGAUAGCCAGCCCAACGGCCGGGUAAUACCGCGUACGACCACAUGGGGACAUCCCUGAGUGGUGAAAGCAGCAAUGCGCCGAUGGAGUGCCUCGCGGCCUAUCAGCUAGUUGGUGAGGUAAUGGCUCACCAAGGCGACGACGGGUAGCCGGCCUGAGAGGGUGACCGGCCACACUGGGACUGAGACACGGCCCAGACUCCUACGGGGGNAG
rnacentral:rRNA from 1 species